AGUAAGGAAUAUUGGUCAAUGGAGGCAACUCUGAACCAGCCAUGCCGCGUGCAGGAAGACAGCCCUCUGGGUCGUAAACUGCUUUUAUUCGGGAAUAAACCUGCUUACGUGUAAGUAGCUGAAUGUACCGAAGGAAUAAGGAUCGGCUAACUCCGUGCCAGCAGCCGCGGUAAUACGGAGGAUCCAAGCGUUAUCCGGAUUUAUUGGGUUUAAAGGGUGCGUAGGCGGCUUAUUAAGUCAGGGGUGAAAGACGGUGGCUCAACCAUCGCAGUGCCCUUGAUACUGAUGAGCUUGAAUACACUAGAGGUAGGCGGAAUGUGACAAGUAGCGGUGAAAUGCAUAGAUAUGUCACAGAACACCGAUUGCGAAGGCAGCUUACUAUGGUGUCAUUGACGCUGAGGCACGAAAGCGUGGGGAUCAAACAGGAUUAGAUACCCUGGUAGUCCACGCCCUAAACGAUGAAUACUCGCUGUUAGCGAUACACAGUUAGCGGCUAAGCGAAAGCG
rnacentral:rRNA from 1 species